rnacentral:rRNA from 1 species
CCUACGGGAGGCAGCAGUGAGGAAUAUUGGUCAAUGGACGCAAGUCUGAACCAGCCAUGCCGCGUGCAGGAAGACGGCUCUAUGAGUUGUAAACUGCUUUUGUACGAGGGUAAACGCAGAUACGCGUAUCUGUCUGAAAGUAUCGUACGAAUAAGGAUCGGCUAACUCCGUUCCAGCAGCCGCGGUAAUACGGAGGAUUCAAGCGUUAUCCGGAUUUAUUGGGUUUAAAGGGUGCGUAGGCGGUCGGAUAAGUUAGAGGUGAAAUCCCGGGGCUCAACUUUGGAAUUGCCUCUGAUACUGUCCGGCUAGAGAGUAGUUGCGGGAGGCGGAAUGUAAGGUGUAGCGGUGAAAUGCGUAGAGAUCAUACAGAACACCGAUUGCGAAGGCAGCUUACCAAGCUACGUCUGACGUUGAGGCACGAAAGCGUGGGGAGCAAACAGGAUUAGAUACCCGAGUAGUC